rnacentral:rRNA from 1 species
AUACGGAGGGUGCAAGCGUUAUCCGGAAUCAUUGGGUUUAAAGGGUCCGUAGGCGGACUAAUAAGUCAGGGGUGAAAUCCCACAGCUUAACUGUGGAACUGCCUUUGAUACUGUUAGUCUUGAGUUAUAUGGAAGUAGAUAGAAUGUGUAGUGUAGCGGUGAAAUGCUUAGAGAUUACACAGAAUACCGAUUGCGAAGGCAGUCUACUACAUAUAUACUGACGCUAAGGGACGAAAGCGUGGGGAGCGAACAGGAUUAGAAACCCGAGUAGUCC